rnacentral:rRNA from 1 species
GACAGAGGGUGCAAGCGUUGUUCGGAAUUACUGGGCGUAAAGGGCUCGUAGGCGGCCAGCUAAGUCAGACGUGAAAUCCCUCGGCUUAACCGGGGAACUGCAUCUGAUACUGGAUGGCUUGAGUUUGGGAGAGGGAUGCGGAAUUCCAGGUGUAGCGGUGAAAUGCGUAGAUAUCUGGAGGAACACCGGUGGCGAAGGCGGCAUCCUGGACCAACACUGACGCUGAGGAGCGAAAGCCAGGGGAGCAAACGGG